UGAAGUGUCCCCACUGGUUUAUUUUAUUAAUAAUAUCUCAAUGGAAAUAAGUCCAACAAAAACUAAAGUAAAGCAGCAAAAGGAAAGAAAGGUUUAGAGUACAAAUGAAAUAGGGAAGUGAAGUUCAGGUGACGAUCCCUCUUCUUCAAAUAUUGAGCUUCACCGACCAAGAUCGCUCUGGAUUUGUCAUCAUUUUUUAUUGAUCGAAGAUCUAGUAUGUUGCUGCUCCAUUUGUAGCUAUAAUUUGCAGUUUUCGUCCUGAAUCGAAGAUGCAUCAUUCUUAGUCGUUGAUUUCCUUGCAGUAUUGGCCACUUCAUCAUCUUCUCCUAUAUCAUCUGACUUGCUAUCCCCUGGAAUCUUCAAAGAUUGCACAUUUGAUGAGGGAUUAUCCGGCACAAUUGUUCAAUAUUUGGCCAACCAUAAGAGAAUUUCCCCACCACAACAUGUUGAAGAUUUUCAAUAAUGUUCAUUUGCUUCAUUUCCGCUUCUGUCCAUUUGACAUAAGGUUCUCCUUGAAGAAAAGUUAUAGGUUUCAUAGGUAUUUGUGGGAGUGGUUGUAACACUGUAUGUGUUGGAUUGUUCAAAGUUGCAGGUUUUAGUAGA